AUUCCAGCUCCAAUAGCGUAUAUUAAAGUUGUUGCAGUUAAAAAGCUCGUAGUUGGAUUUCUGGUGGGGCUGUCGGCCUGGCUCCGAAAGGGGUCGUGGUUAGUACACGCCUGGCCAUCCUCGGGGGAAGCUUUGCUGGCAUUAAGUUGUCGGCGGAGUGACGCUCGUCGUUUACUGUGAACAAAUUAGAGUGUUCAAAGCAGGCUUAGGCCGUUGAAUACAUUAGCAUGGAAUAAUGAGAUAGGACUUUGGUGGUCUAUUUUGUUGGUUUGCACGCCGAAGUAAUGAUUAAUAGGGGCGGUUGGGGGUAUUCGUAUUCAAUUGUCAGAGGUGAAAUUCAUGGAUUUAUGAAAGACGAACUACUGCGAAAGCAUUUACCAAGGAUGUUUUCAUUA
rnacentral:rRNA from 1 species